rnacentral:rRNA from 1 species
AUAGCGUAUAUUAAAGUUGUUGCAGUUAAAAAGCUCGUAGUUGGAUUUUGGAUUGCGUCUAACGGUCGGCCGUGAGGUUCGUACUGUUGGGUGCUUUCUUCUUCUCGAAGACCACGUGUGCUCUUAACUGAGUGUGCGUGGGGUUCGGGACUUUUACUGUGAGAAAAUUAGAGUGUUCAAAGCAGGCAUUUGCUUGAAUAUUGCAGCAUGGAAUAAUGGAAUAGGAUCACAAUCUUAUUUUGUUGGUUUCUAGGAUUGAGAUAAUGAUUAAUAGGGAUAGUUGGGGGCAUUAAUAUUUAAUUGUCAGAGGUGAAAUUCUUGGAUUUAUGAAAGAUUAACUUCUG